rnacentral:lncRNA from 1 species
AUUUGCAUGUUCGUCCGAUUGAGGACUCUGAUUGGUCAAUGAGAAAAACGCCCCUUCCAGAAAGGUAGCUGAUUGGCUGUUGCUGUGGCACGCUCUGCUCCACGCCCCGUUUGAAUGCAGGUCCGCGCCGAGGCGGAAUGCCGGCGGUUUGCGAGUGACGGGGACCGCGGAGGUGUCGCUGUGGACACGUGUCUGAACGUUACCGACGAUGCGGAGUCACCGAAAUCCGGGCUGCUGGUGUCAAGCUUCUUGGGAUCCAUAAUCGCUUUUGGGGGAAAAGAUCAACCAGAAAAACAUCCGAAGGCUCCGUGUGCUGAUCAGCUGGAUCCCUUCUUGCUGAAGGAUAUGGCUGAGGGUAGAGAUGACAGAAGAAGUCGUCCUUCGAGUAAAAUGUUUGACAAUGAAACGAGGGCUCUCUGCAAUUGGAAGAGACUUGACCGCAAAAGAAAGUGCCACAGGAAGGGCAGCAAGGGGUACAACCAGCGCAAGGGCGUUUGUGGUCCGACUCGGAGCAGGAGCAGGAGCAGGAGCCGAGGCAGGAGCAGGCGCAGAUGCAGGAGCAAGGGCAGGAGCAGGGGUAGGAGCCGGGGUAAGAGUUCAGACCGGGAGA